rnacentral:piRNA from 1 species
UAGUAAUCUUGCUGUUGAAUUUUUCUA